ACUCGGGUCUCACGAUUUCGAGAUUAAAAUGAGAACAGUCUAAAAAACUUAACGAGGAACAAUUGGAGGGCAAGUCUGGUGCCAGCAGCCGCGGUAAUUCCAGCUCCAAUAGCGUAUAUUAAAGUUGUUGCAGUUAAAAAGCUCGUAGUCGAUUUUCUAAGCGUCAACCACGUCGGCCUUGGUCACGUUGUUGGCUCUUAUCUGACCGAGAACUUCUCUCGGCCUUCACUGGUCGCGGAUGCAAAUCGGUCACUUUACUGAGAAAAAAUUAGAGUGUUCAAAGCAGGCUUUACGCCUUGAAUACACAAGCUUGGAAUAAUAGAAUAAGACUAAAUUCUUUUUUGUUGGUUAUAAGGGUUUAGUAAUGAUUAAUAGAAACAGUUGGGGGCAUUAGUAUCUAAUUGUCAGAGGUGAAAUUCUUGGAUUUAUUAGAGACUAACUUAUGCGAAAGCAUUUGCCAAAGAUGUUUUCAAUUGAUCAAGAACGAAAGUUAGGGGAUCAAAGACGAUCAGAUACCGUCCUAGUCUUAACUAUAAACGAUUCCGACUAAGGAUUGGGAGGGUUCUCAAAAGCCCUCCCAGCACUUUAUGAGAAAUCAUAAGUCUUUAGGUUCCGGGGGAAGUAUGGACACAAGUCUGAAACUUAAAGGAAUUGACGGAAGGGCACACAAGGAGUGGAACUUGCGGCUUAAUUUGACCCAACACGGGGAAACUUACCACGUCAAGACAUGGGUAGGAUUGACAGAAAUGAGAGCUCUUUCUUGAUUCUAUGGGUGGUGGUGCAUGGCCGUUCUUAGUUGGUGGAGUGAUUUGUCUGGUUAAUUCCGUUAACGAACGAGACCUUACCCUGCUAAAUAGGAGCUGAAUGAACAAUUUGGCAUCCUUCUUAGAGGGACUAUGUGUUCAAGCACAUGGAAGUUUGAGGCAAUAACAGGUCUGUGAUGCCCCUAGACGUCGUGGGCCGCACGUGUGUUACAAUGACACAGGCAACGAGUCUGUCCUGCACCGACAGGUGUUCGGGUAAUCUUUAUAGUCUGUGUCGUGCUUAGGAUUGUCCUUUGUAAUUAUAGGACAUGAAUUAGGAAUUCCUAGUAUAGGUACGUCAUCAACGUGCCUAGAUUAAGUCCCUGCCCUUUGUACACACCGCCCGUCGCUCCUACCGAUUGAGAGAUUCAGUGAACCUCCUGGAGCGGUUUGGAUCUUUAAGGUUCUUACUGCAAAGUUAAGUAAACUAUUAUCUCUUAGA
rnacentral:rRNA from 1 species